UGUGAGAGAAUUUACAUCCCUCAGUGCGCAGAAGAUAUUUGUAACAUCCUUUUCUCCAUGGUUUUGUUUCCCUUCUGUGUACGUUUUGCUUCCUCGUUUUGCUCUCGUUUGUUAAAUUCUCAACCUGCACUAUUGUGUUGUGGACCAUUCCAUUGAGGAUCUCAUCCUUGCCAUGUGAUGGUGGGUCACCCUCACUACCCACCGGGACACCUGUUUUUUACUCCCAAGAAUAUAUGCCAUUCAAUGCUACCUAUUGCUACCCAUUAGAUAUUAACAUGCUUCACAACACAUGAAAGUGUUCAUUAAUUUACAUCCUAU
rnacentral:lncRNA from 1 species